UACGGAGGGUGCAAGCGUUAUCCGGAUUCACUGGGUUUAAAGGGUGUGUAGGCGGAUAUUUAAGUCAGUGGUGAAAUCUCCAGGCUCAACCUGGAAACUGCCAUUGAUACUAUUUAUCUUGAAUUCUGUUGAGGUGGGCGGAAUACAUCAUGGUAGCGGUGAAAUGCUUAAGAUAUGAUGUUAGAACACCGAUUGCGAAGGCAGCUCACUAAGCAGACAUUGACGCUGAGGCACGAAAGCGUGGGGAUCAAACAGG
rnacentral:rRNA from 1 species